UGAGCCAGCAGGGUAAGUGCAGGCAGGGAUGGAGCCCACGCUGGGGCAGGGGCUGGGCAUGCUGGGGAUGGCGGCAGGACCAUUGUGUCCCACCAGGGGUGGGCUCUCAGGAGGCUGAACCGAGGUCCUGUGCUUUUGGUCCAGGGGUGCCAAGAGCAGGCGGGUCCUUGAGGAAAGAUACUCGCUGCCCCUUCGCAUCAGCCCUUUGCAGGACAUCUUGUAUCUAUUCAGAUGGCUGCAAUGAAACAAGAGGCUGGCUCCAAUGUGCCAUUAGGGUGGAGAGACUUCCCUGUUACUCACUCCUACCAGGUAUCAUUGAUGUAUGAUGCUAAAGGUGUUUCCCUGGAGCACAUGGGAACCAGACUUGAGCAAGGAAGGUCAAAGUGAAAUGAAAGCAACAGUGCUCAUCUCGAGCUUUGUUCACAGUUCUGCAACAGGAGAAUAAGUUGGAAUUGGGAUGGUUGUUAGGACCUUGCUCCUUUUCAAUGUGAAAAUCAUGCAAUGAGGAAUAACACUUUAAAGAAUCUGGUGUUCUCUCUUUUAAG